rnacentral:rRNA from 1 species
AACGAACGCUGGCGGCAUGCCUAACACAUGCAAGUCGAACGAGACCUUCGGGUCUAGUGGCGCACGGGUGCGUAACGCGUGGGAACCUGCCCUUAGGUUCGGAAUAACUCCCCGAAAGGGGUGCUAAUACCGGAUAAUGUCUUCGGACCAAAGAUUUAUCGCCUUUGGAUGGGCCCGCGUUGGAUUAGCUAGUUGGUAGGGUAAAAGCCUACCAAGGCGACGAUCCAUAGCUGGUCUGAGAGGAUGAUCAGCCACACUGGGACUGAGACACGGCCCAGACUCCUACGGGAGGCAGCAGUGGGGAAUAUUGGACAAUGGGCGAAAGCCUGAUCCAGCAAUGCCGCGUGAGUGAUGAAGGACUUAGGGUUGUAAAGCUCUUUUACCCGGGAUGAUAAUGACAGUACCGUGAGAAUAAGCUCCGGCUAACUCCGUG